rnacentral:rRNA from 1 species
AUGAACGCUGGCGGCGUGCCUAAUACAUGCAAGUCGCGCGAACAGACGAGGAGCUUGCUCCUCUGACGUUAGCGGCGGACGGGUGAGUAACACGUGGAUAACCUACCUAUAAGACUGGGAUAACUUCGGGAAACCGGAGCUAAUACCGGAUAAUAUAUUGAACCGCAUGGUUCAAUAGUGAAAGACGGUCUUGCUGUCACUUAUAGAUGGAUCCGCGCCGCAUUAGCUAGUUGGUAAGGUAACGGCUUACCAAGGCAACGAUGCGUAGCCGACCUGAGAGGGUGAUCGGCCACACUGGAACUGAGACACGGUCCAGACUCCUACGGGAGGCAGCAGUAGGGAAUCUUCCGCAAUGGGCGAAAGCCUGACGGAGCAACGCCGCGUGAGUGAUGAAGGUCUUCGGAUCGUAAAACUCUGUUAUUAGGGAAGAACAAAUGUGUAAGUAACUAUGCACGUCUUGACGGUACCUAAUCAGAAAGCCACGGCUAACUACGUG